AUGUUCGAUUUUCAAGGAAAUUUAUCCUUAAUUUCUUUGCAAUUCAUCACCGAAUUCUUGUUCUCCAUCAGCUCUUUCCCAAUCACAGCAUGAUCUCUUGAAGGGUCUGUCUUACAGGCAGUCUUUAAAUGGGUAACCAUGCAUGCAUGAUGCUAUAUUUAAUACAUUUAAACAUACUGAUUUAUAUAAAAAUAUGUUUACGUAAUAGUUUUUGUACUCAACUACUUGUGACUUGUUUAGAUCGCAACUUAUUUGCUUUAUGUUCUGGAACCAGCCA
rnacentral:lncRNA from 1 species